UGAAAAAAAAUCCACUGUAGUGUAUUUAGAAAAACCCUAGCCUAUCCAAAGCCUACUUUGUGAUAAAAAUUUGUGAAAUUAUUGGAAAUUUAAAAAGAUAGAACAGGAUAAGGAGAAGAAUUUAGGAGACAGGAAACCCAGAAUCAGUGAUAUGUGACCAGCACGUGACAUUGCAUUUGGACCAUUUCACCAGAAUGGCGGUUUGGUCAGUAUGCAUAGAUUCAACCAAUGUCAAGCAAACAUUUUUUUUUUUUUUCCCAUGAGCUACCACUUUACUGCAACUAGAAUAAGGCAAGAAACUGGGCCCUUAGCCCACUCAAUCUUAUCUAACAGAUUCAGCAAAAAAGUAAGCAGGAUGUGCAUAAUUCUCAAGAGUUACAUACUGGAGAUUUACAUUCAUGUUAUAUCUUUAGGAAGAGUGUGGACAUUUUUUUUUAAAAUGUGAACUAAUCUGAAAAACUUCCACCACACGACUUUAUGUGUAUAAGCCAAUCCAAUGAAGAAUAUGUCCUCUGGACUGAUGCCUAAAGGCCUAGGAACUCACAAUAGUCUUGGGCACAAGCCCCAACCUUCUUAAACCUCCCAGACCCUUCCAUGACUCUGGACCCCCUGACAAUAUCUGCAUUCUAUUUCAUUUCUGGAUCAUAUCAGGGAGAGGGGUCAUCUCAUAGAAAAAAAAAAAAAUCAGUUAAACCCUUCUAUCUCUAAAUGUGGCAGAGAAUCCUGCCUAAUUGGCAAAAUGUGGUAAAAGACAGGUAUGCAUGACAAAGCGCUCUUUGCAGUAAUAAGGUAACAGAUCUGUGUGUGUGUGUGUGUCUGUGUGCAUGUGUGCACAUGUGUAUGCUCUGUAAUCCUGAGUUGUGAUUUAUCGGAGAUUGUUCAUGUUCCUAAGAACAAAGUGCAGGAAUGAAGAAUGUCUAAAUUAAGAUAUACAAAACCAGAACACAAUGAAAAUAAUUACCUUUAAUGAUGGAAAAAAUGUUUAAUGUCCAUAUCAUUUUUCACACAGCUGGGGCAAUUGGUAUUCUGAGGGGGAAAAUGCUGAAGGUAUAGAUAUGCAAGGGAACAAAUAAAAUCAUACUGGUGUGGCACGGGGAUGGGGUGCAGAGGUAGGAAUCAUCAGGAUUGUUGCUAUUUACUCUGACCAUCCUUCAUAUUAUCUCCAUGUAUUGCUUUCAGAAGUUCUUUGUCCCUUCUUUUGCUACAGCAAGUUCAGAAAGACCUAGACAGGAAAAAGCCUUGGAGAUUCUUAAGAGAGAAGCUUUCACAAAAGUGGCCUCUGGGGUUGAACCCAGUAAUCCUGCCACACAUUACAUCUUUCUGUCAAGAAUACCUUUCCUUUAUUCACGGGAUCGUGGAGUAAGCUUGGCUGGCAAAUCUGGGGCAGAUCUGAGCAGAUUCUAAGGGAGGACAGUGGCGCAUCCUCCAUUAUUCCUAUUUGUAUGAAGAGAGAAAUGUUUAAGAGUCACUUUUUCUUUACCCCCUUCCCUCACCCGUGAAAAAACUUUGAUAAUGUGGAACCCUGCCCGAUUCUUCUAGCACUGUGGCUGUCCUUACUUUCCCAACCCGAUUUUUUUCCAGCCCCUGUUAAUAUACCCUUUUUAAAAAUCAAGGCUUCCUGAUCUUACAGGAAACUUCUAUGUAAUUCUUAGUAUGGGAUGGUGGCAGCUUGCUCUCACUACUUGUUGGGAUAACUUGCCACCAUCUUCCCAAUCUUAGUGCCAGGAGUCAUAGAUGGGAAGCAAAUCCCCUCACCAUUUCAUGAGGUAUCUUGACACAUCUGUUUUAAACUGUAGGUUGGACUCAACUUUAUGGUUACUGGAGCCUAGAGUCCUAGUGCCUAGUAAAGUGAAUUGACUUAAGUCUAGAGACUCCAGUUGCUCUUUAUUUCUUCUGAUCAAGCCAGCUGACCUCAACCCAGGCUAUAGAUACUUCCCAGUGCUUGAUUUUCUCCCAAAAUGGCCAUAUAUUGGGAGAAUGGGUAAAAUAAAGGAGAUUAAUAGCACACUUAUUUUGAUGAGCACUAAGAAAUGUGUAGAACUGUUGAAUAAUUAUAGUGUACACCUGAAACUAAGGUGUUUGUUAAUUAUACUUCCAUAAUUUUAAAAAAUGGCCACAGACCUGAUAGGCAGCAAGUUAGACAAUAAAAGUGUUUUAGCAGUGUCAAAUCUUACCACAAUCCUUAAAAGUUCUUGUGUGUCUACUUUUCUUUUUCUUUCUUUUUUUUUAAUCCUAGAGUGUUACCGCUAGUUUCUUAUCUACAAAAUAAUCUCAGAACACUUAUUACAUGCUAAAAACAUAUAUAUGAAAUAAAUUAUUGAUGAACUUUCAAGUUGGUGCUCCUGUGUUCCUGGUAAAUAAUGGGUAUCUGUGGACCAUAGUUUAGGGGUGCAGCUCAAGGUUGAGGAACAGACAUACAAAAACUCAAUCCAUGAUCUUGCCAUUAGGACUACAAGAUCCCAGCUAACAAGAUAGUAUCUUGACAAAAAACUUCUACUUUUUGCUGGUACUGCUGUCAAAUGCACCUGAAGUAUUCUCAUCCCUGAGAUCCUAUGAGAUUCCAUCAACAAAACCUCCUAAGGUUCCCAAACCCUAGUUUGAGUAAAACCCCUGCCAUUAAGUCAUAUGUUCACAGAAACUGGUAUAAUCACAGGAGGUCAAAGUGUUCCAUUUCGCAGCUGAAUUCCAAAAUGAGCUGGAUAAUUUUAUGACCAGCAAUAAAACUAGUAGUUAUGAGAGUUAAAAUAAAAAAGCUAAUCAGAUCUCAUGUUUCAGGACAUAAACUUGUCACCAUGAACAUUAACAAGAUUUUUCCCCCCUUAAGUGGCAACGCAAUAUGUUACAGAGGAUUUUCACUUUUUAGGCAUCUAUGCCAUAUGUUUGCUCCUGGGAAAAUUCAAUUCAGCAUGCAUUUAUUAGGUACCUACUAUGAACAAAGCACCAUCCUAGGCAAGAUUUCCAUAGGUUGCAAAAUUGCAAAAUAGAAUUAGGCAUAAUCUAGUUGCAGAGGGAGAUGUGUGCAACCAGAACCUACUUUGGCAACUCCAGGGCAUCAAGAGCCAUAGGAUUCCCAGGAGUUCAUGUUGCAAAAGUCACCUAGUAUUCUUGGGGCAACUGUAAAGGGGAUAUUAUGACCAGGAGUUAGUUCUUUUCAAACAUUAAAAUCCUUACCCAAGUCUGAGAUGAAGGGUGUCUGCCCAACCCUAGAAAGGGUUCCCUGUGACAACUCUCAGUGUCAGGGACUAUCUAAGGGACAAGAUUGGAGAGUGGAAGAAUGUUAGAAAAAAAACAAAUUUGCUUUAGCCUGGUAUGAUUUUCUUAUCUAAGGAGUUUUACAUUAAAAAAAAAUCUCUCUUCAGAAGAUUUUUAAUAUCCAGAAUUUCUUAAAGGCAAGUCUUUCUCUUUGAAAGCUCUGUCAUAUUUGGAAGAGAGUUUUCUUUCUCCUAUGGCAGAAAGGGCCAUUAUUCUAAAUGGGAGUCUAUCCACAAUGCUGGAGAGUGGAAAGGAAAAGUGAUGCCAGGAAGCUUAGGGCACUAGGCAGGAGAGGAGAAAUAAAGCAUAUGCAAGGUCAAAAUCUAGAUGCUAAUGGGAACCCUGCUAGUGAGGAAUCCCAUUGCAAAUGUCUGGUAUCUACUUACCUCUGCUACUUGCAGGAAGACAGGAAAUUGUGGGAAAUUCUAUUUUCAAAGUGGCAGUAAAGCAGUUAACAGGGAAGAAGUUUUCUAGACUUGAAUGGGAAGUAGGAAUUCUAAAUGGCUGGGGCAGGGCCUUCCACAAGGCUAGAAUAGCCUAAGCUUCAGGUAUAAACAAAGAACUAUCAUAUGGAACAGAAUAAAAUAGGCACAGUAUGAUCGAGAGGCAAAGAAUGGGCAGUGGAAUUUCAGAAAAGUAAGCAACUAAUUAUGAAUGAAGGGGCUACGGAAAGCAUGUAGAAAAGAUGAUAUUUUAAUAGACGUUUAAAAAUAAGUAGGGUUUCAAGUGAUGGAAGAGGCAUUAUGGUGUGAGGCAUUCCAGUAUAAGGAGAUAGUGCAAACAACAAAAGAAAAUAGAUUAACUGUUCCUAUUUUUCAGCAAAGGACUAAUACUACGGUGAAAUUGUACUAUCAUACUCUUUGUUGGAGAAGAUGAGACUGGAAACUUAAUCUCAGCCAUUGAAUAUGCACCUGCUUCUCAGAUUGGCAAGGCAACAAUUUACUGUGAAGAAUCAGUUGUUUUGAAUGGCUAAUUGGUUACAGGUGCAAUGAAUUAGCCAUCUGCCUUCGAGACUGACUCAACUAAGGGAAGGAAAAUCCUUUUCUGUCACUUUGGGAGCAUAUCAGAGAACUGUGAUUCUAACUUGGAAUUUGUGGAUCCUAUGUGGGAUAAGGAAACUAAGGCAUAGAGAAAUCAUAUGGCUUAUCUAAAGGCAACGAGUUAAGAAAACCAGAAGGAAAAAGUAAAACACUCUGAAAUUUUUGGCAUACGUGAACAUUUUCAUCAAGACAAACCUGGGCCUGAGGCAAGGAAAAGGACUUUCAAGCAUUAUGUGGAUAUAGGCAAGAUGAAGGAGCCAGGCAUGGGGGAAAAAGGCAGCUGAGCAUGCCCCUCUUUUAAAGCAUGCUUUCCUCCAGCCUCAGCAAUAAUUUCUGUAGCAGCCCAUUGGCCAGAAUGAUGACAUCUGGCCACCACUUUCUGCAGGGACCUGAAGAGACAUUUAGAUUCUUCAAUGUUCGAACAGUCCAAAUAACUGAGAGAAUACAGAUGUCUGAUAAGAAAAGGAACAAAUUCUGGGUUCACUUUGAGAAGAGCAGCACAGAGGACUGAAAAUUUGGGCAGCGAGAGGCUUCAAGACUCACCCAAAGAAGGAAGUUGCUUCUAGCCUAAGCAGAUUAUUAAAAUGGAACAUAAGACUAUUUUUUCCCAGAUUCUUAGAUUUUCAAGAGAAACUUAAAGUGUUAAAUUUCAUCUGCAAGA